GUUAGCUGCCUGUUAGCAGGCUGAAGCCGUGCUGCUUCACAGAAACAUGAAGACCCGUUUAACAGCUCGGGGCUGUUAACACGUUUAACAUAAUAAACUCAUUGCAGGUUCUCAAGCCUCACGCAUUUCAACUAUAGUUCACACGCCACAUCGUGAGAAGACGGUGUUAAACCGUCUCGGCCACCGUACGCUCGUUACUAAGCAACGUAGAGGCGCGCACACGCGUGACAGGUGGAGCCUUUUGAUAGAAGUGCGCAGUGCAGGUGAAGGACGUGGCGGCACAGAGCAGGUGGAGGAAAACCCGCAGGACACAAGAGACAAGAACUGGUCAUGAAACCAAGAGACAAGAACUGGUCAUGAAACCAACAAAUAAACAAAGACAAAGAAAAAGAAAAGACUGUUGAAUGAAAAGUGUUGGUCCAGUUUAGAAUGGCUGCUUUUUGAUGCAGCCUAGAAAAUAAUGUAUUUCACCGAUUGUAGGACAUUAAGGUCUCUUUAGUUGGGACGAGUAUCACGACUCAGACAGAGACCCGAACGCAGAUAUGAGGAAUAAGGUUUAAUGAAGAGGAAUUCGGGCAGGCAGUGUCGUUGUCGGAAGCAGGCAGGAGUUCGGUGCACGGGAGAUCAGGGGUUCAGAGGUGGCAGGCCGUGUCGUUGUCAGAGGCAGGCAGGGGUCAGUACACGGGGGAUCUCAAGAAUCGACUGGAAACUACGGGGAUAUAACGCUGGUAAGACCUGGUGAAACACACAAGACGAACUGGCAACAAGUACAGGGAGAAGACACAGGUUAUAUGCCCAAGGGAUAAUUGACAAACAGGGAACACCUGGUUUGGGAGGAGACAGGGGAAAAACAGGUGAAUACGGGUGAACACAAUUAGGGCGUGACAACGAGCAAUUUCACAGUGGAAACAAUAAAGGACCAUGAAGUUUCAAAAGCAUUGCAAGUAAACAGACAAAGACAACAAAGUGUUGUGUUUAGAUCCCUGGUCCUCAUGAAGUUGUUACACCUUUGCCAAUUUGUUAAAUUGCCUUGCAAAUAAAUGCUUUGCUAUUUGUUAAAAUCCAAAUCCUUUCCUUUCACAUGUCAUUUAUAUUCGCUCACACAAACACUUCAACCAUUUGUUCUUGGCCCGGCUCCUCCGUCACAUUUUACAACCCAUUGUGGCCCGGCAGUCAAAAAGUUUGCCGACCUGCUAUAAACCUGUCCUAGGAGGGACAUCUAAUGGACAACCAAGUACUGCAAGCUAGACCAUUAUGCAGUUGUAGACACAACACAGGGGGUCCCUGGACCUGAGAAGGGAAGAAAAGGAGUUUAAUAUGGCUAUUAAAUGGCACUAAAACUAGACUAAAACUAAUUACAUUUUAGUCUAGUUUUCGUCGACGAAAAGUAGACUAAAACUAAGAAGGAUUAAAAUGACUAAAUGUGACUAAAACUAAUAUGCAUAAGACUAAAUCAAAAAUAGCUUACAAAAUUAACACUGCUGUAAUAUAACUGAUGUCAUAGAUGGGAGUGUCACGUGUCAUGUAGGGUCCAUUUGUUUAGAUGGAACACCCUUGUGGUGGCGGGCGUGGUUUGGCUCGGCUGCAGAGGGGACGGAGAAGGGAGUGGCUCAGGGAACGGUGCCAGGUGGAGGCAAUUGGCCUCAGCUGAGCCAGAGGACCGGCCGUUCACGUACGGGCAGCGGCUCAAGGAUGCCGUGAGCAGAUGGCUGCUGCCUAACGGCGAUGGGGUGGAGUGGAAGCAGUGAUGGAGAAGGUGGUGUUGGAGCAGUUUGCAGAGGGGCUCCCGACCCGGACGGCAGCGUGGGUGAAAUACCACCGCCCGCCGACCCUCAGAGCUGCCAUCACCCUUGCGGAGGAUCACCUGGCGGUGCACCCCGGCAGACAGCGGGACCAGGGGGGUACGCCAUCCCCGGCCCGACCAGCGCAACGGGGAGGGGGGCAGCAGCCGGCGGCGGAGCGACCCGUGCCGACCCCACGACGGACAUCGUUCCUCCCGGCCCGCUACUCACCGACCCCAGAGAACACCGGUGCCCUGGGCACAGUGAUCCGGGUUGCUGGCGUUCCAACACCCUCCCCCGGCCCGGGAGCGUUGUACCGCAUUCCGAUCUCGACUCUUCGCUGUCCUUGCGCCGAAAUGGUGGAACAAGCUCCCUGAAGACACCAGGACCGCAGAGAGCCUUCACAUCUUCCGCCGCAAACUAAAGACACACCUCUUCAGACUCUACCUCGACUAAAGACUAACGAAUUGUAGCACUUAAAUUGUACUUGUAACGUCACUCAUCUAUAGCAAAUUGUAAAUUGGCUUAUUUGAGGAAAUUGCACUUUCUUGUUCUGAGUUUGUACUCUAUGGUUGAAUGCACUUAUUGUACGUCGCUUUGGAUAAAAGCGUCCGCUAAAUGACAUGUAAUGUAAUAAUAUCGGUGGAAAUUAGGUAUGAGGGGAAAAAGCAUAGAAUGAAGGUCGCGGUUAGCUCCCGCCUGACGCACCCCGUCAUUUUGGGUACAGAUUGGCCGGGGUUUGAUAGCUAAUGGGGGGGCUACGGGGGUGCGUUCACGACCGACAGGGAGAUGUGCGCUGUGCUCAGCGGUGACGCAGGGUCGUCCGACACUGCAGACGGGGAGGGGGAACCCGCAGAGCCUCCCUUGGAGACUCCGCUGGCUCCCGAGUUUCGCUCCAUGGAAGAUUUUCCACUCUAACAGUCUCGUGACGAUACCCUACGCUCAGCCUACGACCAAGUGAUACGAGUUGAUGGUCAUCUGGUGCGCCCUGAUGCAGCGCAGUCAUUUCUGCACUUUUCGUUGAUUAGGGACAGACUGUAUAGAGUGAGUCAGACGGGGCAGGAAAACACUCAGUUGCUGGUGCCAAAAAGCCGCCGGGAAAUGAUUUUCCAGGCAGCUCACUAUAACCCGAUGGCUGGUCACAUGGGAUACAAGAAAACACUAGACCGGAUAAUGACCCGAUUUUAUUGGCCAGGCAUCCGGGGGGACGUGCGCCGCCGGUGCGCGUACUGCCCGGAGUGUCAGUUAGUGAACGCUCCGGCCAUUCCGAGGGCGCCGUUGCGUCCUCUACCGUUGGUGGAGGUUCCGUUCGAGCGGAUCGGCAUGGACCUCAUCGGGCCGUUUCACCGGAGCGCACGCGGAUAUCGCAGAUAUCACACGCGGAUAUCGCUUUGUGUUGUGGGCGUGAGGAGUGCAGAUGAAGGAGGGGGUCCCGGGUGAUGAUCUCCUCGACAGUGCGCGGUGCCCAGUGGUCCUCCCACGUGCAGGAACAGACAGGUGUCACUGUAACCGAGGAGGUGAGACAAGAGGUAAGUAACAGGAUUUACACUGAAUGAAAAGAGAACAGCCGGCUCUCGGCUUGACUGGGUGCUGGUCACUGAGACUCGCGAAGACUGAGGUCGACAUAGGUGACGUGAGUAACGAUCCGACGUCGGCCGGUUGUCAGGCUCUCCCUCUUAUCCCCUGGUGAUUGUGGCUCCGGUGCAGGUGCGUGAUUGCAGAGCUGAGACAGGUACGUGCGAGGCCGACCUAAACCAGCCUUUACCUGGGUCCGGAGGGGGGAACUCUGACAACGCGUUAUCCGGAGGCAGAGCCGUUGCACAAUAUCUCUGCAAAGAGCUUCGCGCAGGCUCUGUUUCAGGUCAUCUCCCGAGUUGGAAUCCCUAAGGAGAUUCUGACUGACCAGGGCACUACGUUCAUGUCGUGCACACUGAGAGAACUUUACGGGUUACUGGGCAUUAAGGCCGUUCGUAACUUUUAUUAAGUUCGUACGAGCGUGUAUCACCCGCAGACGAACGGGCUGGUGGAACGCAUAUGGUAAUGAUGGUAAAUGAUGGUUGUAGCUGGUUGUCAUCUACGGUCCACUACGGUUACCGAACGUUUUAUCUCAGAAAUUCGACUUUCUAUCCCCUUACAUUAGUGCAGAAAUGGGCUUCUAUAGUUGUGUGAAUGCAUCACUCCAGCCAAUCCAAACACGGGGUUUGUAACCAAUCAGAUGUAGAUACCAUGGUGACUGGCUCCGCCCCCUUACUGUCAAAAAGAAAAACAGCGAGCGCGUAGAAAACACCUUCGAGCGCGAGCAGAGACUAACCUCGCAAGCGAGGAAGUUCACGUUUCGCGAGAGGGCAAAUAUCUCGCGCAAGAUGGACUUUUGCUCACGCGAGACGGACAUUUGCUCGCGGAUGUUUGAUUGAGGUGCGCGCAUCAACCUGAUUUACGCUCUCAAAUUUUGACAGUGAUUUGCCGCCAAACCAGAUGCCCCCCAGUGCCCAGGCGCCUUACAGGGCAAAGAGGCCAGAGGAGGUGGACUCGGAGGCCUGGACUUUCGUUGUCACCGAGGGCGGUGACACCACCAACGCCUCCCUGGUCCUGAGCCGGUGGAAGGUGCAGUUGGGUCGCUACCAGGGCAGAACCUUCCACUGGCUUUUGGAGAACGACGUGGGCUACAGCGUCAAUCUGGUCGCCUCCCACCAGAAAGAGCGCCAGAGGACGGAGGCUCAGUCCCCGCUGAUGGCCAACGAGGACCCCUUCACCCGCUACUCCUCCACCUACAAGGACUUUGUGGAGACAGUCAGGUUCCACCGGGCAUUUGAGGAGGCGCGGGCAAAUUCCCUCCAGCCCGGUCAGCAGGGACGGGCCCUUGUUGGCUUCGGGGACUUUAAGUUUGAGUCCCUGGAGAGCCUUUACGAGGCAACGGACAACAAAAAGAUCCGUUUUGUCAAAUACCUCCGGAGGACGUCACCAGCUCCAGGGACGCAGAUGGAGAACGCCGUCCAGCCUCUUGGUCCAGCGCUUGUGGUGUUUGUCUCUAUCUGCUGUGGAGAUGCAGGCCCAGGUGAAGAAGCUGGUGGCCCCUAAGCCUGCAUCUACAGCCCCCCACUUCAGCCCCUUCCGACCAGCUCUGUCCUCCCCCCGGUCAUCUGUGGAGACUUGAGAUGAAGAGCUGGUCACGGAGGUAGUUGACUUGGAGACAGACGUGCCCCUCUUUUACUCCUGCCACCACCCGCUGCGAUCGUCGCCACCUCCUCUUCCUCGGCAGCACCUCCUCCUCCAGGAGCUGGUGUCUCUGCUCUGCUGGACAAGCCCACAGACGAGGAGCUGCUGGAAGCCUCGCAGGAGAUAGACGCCCUGAUGGAACUUCCUACAGCCCUUGUCGUGGUUCAGCCUGCAGGGACACCGGCUCCCUUGCCUCCAGCCGCCGUCUGCACCCGUCGCCAUGGAGGAACAGGAGGAGUUGCCCGGUCCAGGCUUCCUCCCUCCCCCUCCAUCUUCUGUCAGUGAGUUGCUGCCUCAGUCCUGGAGGGCAGCUCUCACUGUGGAGCGGCAGCAGUGGAUCGGAUGGGUGCUGUUUACCAGGGACAGCCAGUGGAGGCCUUGGCUCGUCGGUGAGCUCAACCUCUGUUGGCACCCCCCCAAUCCCGGCCGGUCUACAACCAGCCUUCCGCAUCCCCCGACCCCUUCUUCACAUGUCGGCUGUUCCUCUGGAUGCCACACCGGAUUUGCAGCUGACAUGCCCCUAGCCAUUGUGCACUGGGUCCUUGAUCAAGGCUGGGCUGUACAGGACCAUCCGGAGGGUCCUGGACAUCGACGGCUGGUACCUCAUGGGCACAGAGUACCUGGAGUGCCGUCGAUGUAAGAAGCACGUCGGAGGGUGGUCACAGGGCAUCAUCAGGCAGCUGUCCCCCACCCAUAGCUGCCAGUUCCCAGCUGUACUCACGUACAAGCUGUCCUGUGACAUGAGGGUGGUGAUACAGCUGAGGUCCCGCACUCUGCGCAACAGUGCCAACCAGCUGUACAACACCCUGCGGGAGCAGCACUCGGACACCUGGAUGCGGAGAGCGAUCCAGUACCUCAGCGUGUGCGAGCGAUUCCUGGCCUUGGGCUCGGCAAGGGGGCAGAUUCCACCUCUGCCAUCCCCCGUCUGGCUGCUGACUGUAUACAGCUACGACGUCCUGGCGCGGCUGGAAGAGUACAAGGCCAGGAUCACGUCCACCUUAGGGUCCAUCUUAAAGAUGGAUUCCACCAAGGCGGCGAGUGCAGUCUGUCAGUUUCUUUUCCUUCCAGCUGCUGUGUGUUUCUCACAUUAACUCUCAGAAUCUCUCUGCUCGUGGGUAUCUCCUCCGACACGGCCGCCUGGGCAACCAACGUCGGCAAUGAGCACGGGCAGGUCUUCAUGAGCGUCCUCACUUGCACCGAGAGCGCUGGGGGCCUGUCCAGGAUGGCGGCGGGCUUGAUGAGGCAGUACCGACUGGCUGGGGCGACGCUUCCCAUCAGGUGUCGACACCGAGAGCCACGAGCUGUACCCCGCCUUCAUGGGGAAGCUGUCUCACUGCAUCUUCUACGCCGGAGAUGCACGCCAUCUCGCAGAGGCUAAGCGGUCCCGGCUGGAGGGGAAGCACGGGAUGGUUGGACUGACCGACGCUGCGGUGAUCCAGAGGAUCUCCAGGGAGGAGUGGAGGCUCCACUGCCGUUGCAGGACACGUGGGCCUGAGGAAUCGGCCCUCCUCGACACCUUCGGUGGACCGGCAGGACGCAACAACCUGGGCAUCCCGUUGCUCAACAGUCUCCGCUUCCAGGACAUAUGGAGUACGCAGAGGACCCACCUCAGCUGCAUCCAGGACCUGCCAGUGCCAAGCACUUACAGGCGUUCCUGGUGAAUGGACUGGUGAGGUGGAGCGAGGACCGCGCAGCAGCAGCUGCACCACCACCGGCUGCAGAUGAGGGACGGCUGGGACCUCUGCACUCCUACAGUGGCCACCUCAAGCACGUUGUUAACCAGAAGAGCCAAAGAGUGCUUGGUCUUCAGGUGGUUAAGGACUUCACCGAGCUGGCUAAGUACACAGGUAUGCGAUGUGAAAACACCUCAUUUCAUAACAGAGCAAAACGAGCCGUGACUGAUUCCUUCUCUGUGUGAGAGGGGAGCACAUCGGAGUUGAGUACCUGUACCAGCAGAAAGGCAAAGUGCUUGAGGACGUCAGCCUGGACCCUGACACUCCGGACGAGGCUCCUACCAUCGAGGCGCUGGAGGAGGACGAGGGCAUCGAGGAAGACUUAGCGGACCCUACAGUCUUCGGGCCCGAUACUCCAUCCUCCAGCGUGGCAGCAUCUCGGUCAGGAGAACAUCCAGGGUCCUGAUGGCCUGGGUACCAGCACGUCCUGAACCUGGCCUAGGCGCUGGUGGAAGGGAGGAACCUUCUGGGGCUGCCUGAGAGUAGAACGACUCAUCCUGCUUUGGACUCGCUUGGCGGAGCAGGACAAGCGGCGAGUCAACUACCCUCCCAGAUACCGGGAGAGGCAACCAAAGAGCCGGUUCAAGGCAGCGAAGGGGAAGAACACCUCCUGUGCUGGAAAGGAGAGUCUCCAACGCUGCCUCCUCGGGGUCAACUCAGGGCCUUCCACCUGGCCAGUGCCAGCCGCCUGGUGGAGGCCACCAGAACUAAUAACUACCCCACCAUACACAAGCACUCACAUACACACAACCAGAGUGACACCCCCCCCCCCCCC
ensembl:lncRNA